CACGUAGUUAGCCGGGGCUUCUUAGUCAGGUACCGUCAUUUUCUUCCCUGCUGAUAGAGCUUUACAUACCGAAAUACUUCAUCGCUCACGCGGCGUCGCUGCAUCAGGGUUCCCCCAUUGUGCAAUAUCCCCCACUGCUGCCUCCCGUAGGAGUUUGGGCCGUGUCUCAGUCCCAAUGUGGCCGUUCACCCUCUCAGGCCGGCUACUGAUCGUCGCCUUGGUGGGCCGUUACCCCACCAACCAGCUAAUCAGACGCGGGUCCAUCUCAUACCACCGGAGUUUUUACCACUGUACCAUGCAGUACUGUGGUCUUAUGCGGUAUUAGCAGUCAUUUCUAACUGUUAUCCCCCUGUAUGAGGCAGGUUACCCACGCGUUACUCACCCGUCCGCCGCUCAGUCAAAUUUACCUUUCCUCCCCGAAAGAAUACAAAAGCAAAAGUCGACUUCGCUCGACUUUGCAUGUGUUAGGCAGCCGCCAGCGUUCAUCCUGAGCCAGGGACUCCAAAACUCCUCUUAC
rnacentral:rRNA from 1 species